UUCCUCAGCGCUCUAGGCCGAGUUUCCACCUUGUCAAGGCAGGAAGCCGGGGCGGUCCCAGAGCACGAUCCGAUCCGGGGCCUUUCUUCUCUCAGUAGAACCAAGACGGAGUGUCCGUGGGGACUGGAACUGGACACCGGCCUGUGCUGCGGAUGCGCAGGCGACCGCAGACAGACAGAGAAAGAGAGAUCCAGAAAGAACCCACGUCAGGAAGUUCAGACUUUCUCUGGAAACCAAGUAUUCCCAGGGCCUCGCUUCCCGGUUCCGGAGAGGGGCUGCGCGGACCCCACCCUCCCUCGAGGCCCCCGCCCUUGGGACCUUCGGUGCCACCGGAGACGGCGAGGCGAGGCCGGGCUGUGAGGUGCAGGGUGGGGCUGCAGGUUGGGAGGGGGCAGGGCCCAUUGUCUCCCUGGGCACCAAUCCCCAGCCACCGAGGGAGAGAGACGCACAAAGGAGGGAGCGAGGAAUGAGACGGUAAGUAAAGGCAAACAAAAGUGAACGGGGGAGACAAAAGCUGGGAACAAUAUUCCCCAGGCAGUAGGCUCGGAACAAUAGGGACACUGACAGCCCCACAAAGACGCCAGUGUCUCCGCGUAGACGUUAUCUCAGGCAGUGGUUGGCAGCCCAGCGCGGGCUGCAGCUAUUUUCAGUAGCGCUUUUGUGCCAUGCUGAACAAUAUUCCUUGCAUGGCUGCUGAUAGAAAGAUGAGAAGGUUUCUGUUUGAUUCUCCUCUUCCUUCCCUCCCCCGGCCCUUCUCCGCCCCUACCAGCUCAGCGUUGGGAGCUCCAGCCCCUGGGCUGGUUGGGGUGUGUGUGGUUGCAGGGGGGACCCCCAGGACCCGGGGGGCAAGGGAGGGUCUCAGGGCCUCCAUGGAAGGAAGCCAGUGGAAAACUGGGAGCACAAGUGUCAGGGAAG
rnacentral:lncRNA from 1 species